UUUUCAAAGUUUCUACAAGAUCUCCCGAAGUCUCGAAGCCGUGCCCUAAUGUCUUCUUCUCUUCAUGCAGACACAUUUGCCCAUAAGCUUUAUAACACCUAGUCACCAUUGGUGAGGAAGCCAGAGGAUAAAAAUCCGAAAGUGUCCACAAGUUUUUUGCAUACGCAGCCCAGGAAGUGACUGACGAUAAGACCCCGCGUGUUGUGGAGAUUCAACAGCGGAUUGGAAUAAUCUUGAUCGUCGAAUUUUGUAUAUUUCAUGAUCAUGUGAAUAUGACAUCUGGUGGAAACCGCUCGAAGUUUCCUUUACGUGUUUAUGCCCCAAUCUC